GGGAGUUCCAAGAAAAAGCCGAAUAGGUCUAGGUAACAUGCCUAUUUAUGGUAUGGCGACGUAGCAUGACUCUAUUGAUCGCGCGGACUAGCGGCUAUUUAGGUAUGCAUGGAGAAACACGCCCCGAAUGUAUAGGAACGGCAUUGUGUGAUUGGCGAUGUAGUCGAAAUACGGUUUCUAAAAGAAAGUACCCUGGGAUGGGCGUGUGAUUUAAAAACAUUCACAUAAGCAAUACUUUGUAAACUGCGUGAACUUGAAACAAUCACUUCUGGUGACGUGCAGCUUCACUGAGUUACGUAUAUAUAUAUAUAUACGAGAGCGAAACAACAGGGCAGUUCUACAGUAAUACAGGUUUCAAUUGGAUGUACCUGGUCAAGAAUGCAGCAGAACAUUGAAAAAACAAAAUCAUCGAGGGUAUAAAGAGCGACCAUUCCCGGCGGCAUGCUGUAUGAAACGCGUUCAUGAAAGUAUACUGGCGUGAAGCCUUAUAUGUAUUUUCAAACUUGAAAUUUAUUUCUUAUAUUUACAUUCUGUUUUCAUUUAUUUUGGAAUUCCCCGUUGUUAGAAUUGACAUACUAUGUAUAUUUAUCAAGAUUCAUACGCGCAUUGUUCACAACCAGAUCGCAUUCAUGAGGAAAUGGUUAGAUCUAUCAUUACAAUUUGUAAAGCUAUCCAAGUCAAAAACAUUGGAAAUGUCAUUAUCUAAAAGUAGCUGAUGGGCAUCAAGUACUGGAACAGGAUCGAGGUAGCUAGAUAAAACAUUUAUACUGACCAAUGAUGUACUUACACUGUAUGUGUACAGUAAUAAAUUUAUACAUUGACAGUGCACGGACAAUCAGCCCGACUCCCCGCGGCUAGUGGCUUGUAGAAAACAUGCCAGCACUAGCCUGUGCGGCUAGAGUAAAAAAAAUCUUGGAUCAGCAAAUUGCUGGGAUUUUAAAAAUAAACAAUAGACAAUCUGAUUUGUACUGUGUUUUGUAAAUCAGUGCAAUAUCUCUAUAGUCUAUUUGUUGUGAAUUCAGUUUGAUGAAUGCUGCUUUUCAGGUUUCUUUUACAAUAUGUUUACGGGCAAGCAAAUUUUUCAUAAUGGCCUUGGGCAGAGUACAUCUGUUAUUACAUACAUGUAUAAUCAGUAUGGCUAGUGUCUCGGAAGAGUUGAUUACAGUUCAAUUCCUCUUCUCUUUUUCCAUAAGGAAAUUGUAUCUCUGUAUAUGAUUGAAUAAAUUAAUGGAUAUGAUCACAA